ACACGACUCUCGGCAACGGAUAUCUCGGCUCUCGCAUCGAUGAAGAACGUAGCGAAAUGCGAUACCUGGUGUGAAUUGCAGAAUCCCGCGAACCAUCGAGUCUUUGAACGCAAGUUGCGCCCGAGGCCUCUCGGCCGAGGGCACGCCUGCCUGGGCGUCACGC
rnacentral:rRNA from 1 species